GAUGAACGCUGACAGAAUGCUUAACACAUCAGCAAUUGAUUGGUGGCGGACGGGUGAGUACCGCGUAAAGAACUUACCUCACAGUUAGGGACAACAUUUGGAAACGAAUGCUAAUACAUAAUACUGUGAGAGAGCUUUGGGUCCCAUUAGCUAGUGGGAGAGGUAACGGCGCACCAAGGCGAGGAUGGGUAGCCGGCCUGUGAGGGGGAUCGGCCACAAGGGGACUGAGACACGGUCCGUACGCAUACGGGAGGCAGCAGUGGGGAAUAUUGGAAAAUGGACCAAAGUCUGAUCCAGCAAUUCUGUGUGCACGAUGAAGUUGUCGGAAUGUAAAGUGCUUUCAGUUUGGAAGCGGUACCAACAGAAGAAGUGACGGCUAAAUACGUGCCAGCCGCCGCGGUAAUAC
rnacentral:rRNA from 1 species